CAACAGGCAUGGAGAAAUGGAAAGACAAACACAGUCUGAGUGACCCAGGGUCUGUGAGCAGUUGUGGACUUGUAUAAUAUCUUAUAUGUAUGGUUGCUGCUAUGCUGCUGUCCCUGUUUCCAUGCUUACAUGUAUAGGCAGGUGUUUGUGUGUGGGUGCGGCUGUAUCCGGUAGGCCGGGCUACAGGCACCUUCAGGCCUGGUGGGUGUGGCCCUGCCAGGUGGCUGGCCACACCUGAAGAUGAUGCCACGCACCUGCAGCUGAUCAGCCUUGUCAGGGGAGCUAUUUAAGGGUGUGAUUGAGCUCCUACUGAUGUGCGGUUGUUGUGUGAGACGGCAUGUCAGUUGUCUUACUGCGCAAAGUCUUUUGAGUGUAUGCAAGCUGUAGUUGUGUAUCCUGACAGCUGCUUCUGUUAUUUUCCCCCCAGGCGGGGCAUGGAAACGAGAGGGCAGCAAGCACGGGGUGUGCGGACACACGGGAGCUGAAAAUACAGAGCACGGACUUCGGGUGUAGAAAGACACGACAAGGGAGUCAGGGGAGCGCACGGGGAUCUAUUGUGUAAUAUUCACAGCACUGUCAAUAAACGCACUGUUUUCUGCACCAGAGUCCUGCAUUGUGGGUCCUGAUUUCCCCACAUCCCCACGGUCUGCCAGCCAUGACAGUGUGUACGUGUCACCAUUAGUGACAGGCUUGCCACUGAAAAAAGAGAAAACUGAGAGAAAGACACGACUCCCAUGGUUUCUGUCAAAACCUUGGAACAGGAACAGCUCAAACAACAUGAUAUUGUCUAAAACCAGGAUGAAAGCCAGGAACAAGUAGCUGUUUGCCAGAAAACUGCAACAUACAUGGCUAAGAAAGCGUCAGUCACAUUUUGGAAAGGAGAUUUCGGUGCCUUCGAAAUGGCUGCAAUUGUGAAUGCUGCUAAUUGAACUCUUUCUCACAUGGGCAGACUUACAAAGGCACUAUUUACCACUGGUGGAUGUAAUAUCAAAGCAGAGAGCAAUGUCUUCUUUGCCAAAAAUGGCAAAUUAAAGACAGGACAAGUAGCGGUAAGCAGGGAAACUACCUUGCAUGAAGCUUAUUCAUUUGGUAGGCCCAUUUCUGCAGAAUGACCCAACAGUGCGCAUGAUAUCCACUGCUAAAGUAAAAUAAAAUGAUAAAUUAGUCCACAAAAAGUAGCAGUCAUUAAAUAGAUUCAAACUUUUUUUUUUUUUUUUUUUUUUUUUUUCAGCUGUUAUGAUUUCUAAUCAAACACACCCCACAAAUAUUAUGUGUAAUAUAUCAGCAUUAAUAAAGUGUUUUACAAGAACAAGAGUAACUGAGACAAGUAUGAAUUUCUGAAUUUUGUUUAAC